AGAGAAGCCGCCGGCGUGCCAGUGUCAACCGGCUAGAGGACCGCGUGCGCCAACCACCUUUGGACACGCGUUGAACGUCGCCUGGGAAAACGCAGCUCCAACCUUCCUGUGACACGCGUCCCCAGCAACGCAACCUGACCCGCGUUCCUCGGCUUACCCGGUACCCGCGCCGCGAAACGAACCGAACCCACAACCCGCGGUCCACCCGAACCAUUGUUUCCGAACCGAACCGACGACCCACGACUACAGAAAACUCUGGGUGCGUGACACUCGCGCAUGGAACCUGCGAGUGGUUGCAUCCCGGCGCGUGGAAGCGCGUAACCUAAUUGAGAAAAAUCACUACCUUUUGAUACGCCAAUUGUGUGGAAAUGCUGCAUUAGGGCACGCAUCAUCCAAGUACGUGAGGCGUCAAGUCAAGAGAGGGUGCGUUGAU